GGGGUUCGACUGCUUAUUGCACCACAUGUGUUUUUCUUUGAAACAAACUUGCUUUGGCGGUGGGCCCAGCCUGCCGCCAGAGGUCUAAACUUACAACCAAUUUUUUAUCAACUUGUCACACCAGAUUAUUACUAAUAGUCAAAACUUUCAACAACGGAUCUCUUGGUUCUCGCAUCGAUGAAGAACGCAGCGAAAUGCGAUACGUAAUAUGAAUUGCAGAUAUUCGUGAAUCAUCGAAUCUUUGAACGCACAUUGCGCCCUCUGGUAUUCCGGAGGGCAUGCCUGUUUGAGCGUCGUUUCUCCCUCAAACCGCUGGGUUUGGUGUUGAGCAAUACGACUUGGGUUUGCUUGAAAGACGGUAGUGGUAAGGCGGGAUCGCUUUGACAAUGGCUUAGGUCUAACCAAAAACAUUGCUUGCGGCGGUAACGUCUACCACGUAUAUCUUCAAACUUUGACCUCAAAUCAGGUAGGACUACCCGCUGAACUUAAGCAUAUCAAUAAGACGGAGGAA
rnacentral:rRNA from 1 species